UAGAGGAAGUAAAAGUCGUAACAAGGUUUCCGUAGGUGAACCUGCGGAAGGAUCAUUACCGAGUGAGGGCCCUCUGGGUCCAACCUCCCACCCGUGUUUAUUUUACCUUGUUGCUUCGGCGGGCCCGCCUUAACUGGCCGCCGGGGGGCUUACGCCCCCGGGCCCGCGCCCGCCGAAGACACCCUCGAACUCUGUCUGAAGAUUGUAGUCUGAGUGAAAAUAUAAAUUAUUUAAAACUUUCAACAACGGAUCUCUUGGUUCCGGCAUCGAUGAAGAACGCAGCGAAAUGCGAUACGUAAUGUGAAUUGCAAAUUCAGUGAAUCAUCGAGUCUUUGAACGCACAUUGCGCCCCCUGGUAUUCCGGGGGGCAUGCCUGUCCGAGCGUCAUUUCUGCCCUCAAGCACGGCUUGUGUGUUGGGCCCCGUCCUCCGAUCCCGGGGGACGGGCCCGAAAGGCAGCGGCGGCACCGCGUCCGGUCCUCGAGCGUAUGGGGCUUUGUCACCCGCUCUGUAGGCCCGGCCGGCGCUUGCCGAUCAACCCAAAUUUUUAUCCAGGUUGACCUCGGAUCAGGUAGGGAUACCCGCUGAACUUAAGCAU
rnacentral:rRNA from 1 species